rnacentral:rRNA from 1 species
AUGGCAAGGUACUGGUGGAGCAGCUCGAUUGAUCGCAAAUCUUUGCACUGGAUUGAUUGGCCCGCUCUAGCCAAACCCAAAGUUGCAGGAGGCAUGGGGUUUCGUGACUUGGAGGUGUUCAAUAUAGCUCUACUUGGAAAACAUGGCUGGAACUUGGUUGCGAACCCGGAGUCUCUCUGUGCUCGAGUACUGAAGGGGAAGUAUUUUCCAAACAAUGAGUUCAUGGAGGCUACCAUCCCUAAAUGUGCCUUGACUACCUGGCGUGCGAUCAUUGCUGGCCGGCAAGCUCUGCGUGCAGGUUUGAUCAAGCGGAUAGGAGACGGCACUUUGGUGUCUGUUUGGAACGACAGCUGGGUUCCCGGGCUGAUCUCCUUGAGACCUAGUGUCCACAUAGGAAACACUAAUAUCAAUGCAGUUUCUGAACUUCUUGAUGUGGACCGAGGCAUGUGGAAUGUUGAAAUGGUGAGAGAACAUUCUAUUGCUUCGGAAGCAGAUGUCAUUCUUAAUAUCCCCUUGAGGAUUGGAGGUGGACUGGAUUCAUGGGCAUGGAAUGCAGAAAAGUCAGGCGUCUACUCUGUUAAAACAGCGUACCGAUCUCUAAUGACUCAGAACGAGCAUACUGCUCUACAAGAAGGGACAGUUACGGAAUCCUCAGAGAAACAAAAACAGUUGUGGAUUAGACUUUGGAAGCUCAAAGUUGUGCCAAAGGUGCAAGUGUUUUGGUGGCGAGUACUCCGAGGAAUUCUUCCUACUGAGCACUUUGAAGCAUAG